rnacentral:rRNA from 12 species
AAGGUUGGCUAAUCCUGGUCGGACAUCAGGAGGUUAGUGCAAUGGCAUAAGCCAGCUUGACUGCGAGCGUGACGGCGCGAGCAGGUGCGAAAGCAGGUCAUAGUGAUCCGGUGGUUCUGAAUGGAAGGGCCAUCGCUCAACGGAUAAAAGGUACUCCGGGGAUAACAGGCUGAUACCGCCCAAGAGUUCAUAUCGACGGCGGUGUUUGGCACCUCGAUGUCGGCUCAUCACAUCCUGGGGCUGAAGUAGGUCCCAAGGGUAUGGCUGUUCGCCAUUUAAAGUGGUACGCGAGCUGGGUUUAGAACGUCGUGAGACAGUUCGGUCCCUAUCUGCCGUGGGCGCUGGAGAACUGAGGGGGGCUGCUCCUAGUACGAGAGGACCGGAGUGGACGCAUCACUGGUGUUCGGGUUGUCAUGCCAAUGGCACUGCCCGGUAGCUAAAUGCGGAAGAGAUAAGUGCUGAAAGCAUCUAAGCACGAAACUUGCCCCGA